UACGUAGGGGGCAAGCGUUGUCCGGAAUCAUUGGGCGUAAAGAGCGUGUAGGCGGCUCGGUAAGUCCGCUGUGAAAGUCCAGGGCUCAACCCUGGAAUGCCGGUGGAAACUGUCGAGCUAGAGUCCGGAAGAGGCGAGUGGAAUUCCUGGUGUAGCGGUGAAAUGCGCAGAUAUCAGGAGGAACACCAAUGGCGAAGGCAGCUCGCUGGGACGGACUGACGCUGAGACGCGAAAGCGUGGGGAGCAAACAGG
rnacentral:rRNA from 1 species